rnacentral:miRNA from 1 species
UAUCUUCUGUCGUCCGGUCCAGC